rnacentral:rRNA from 1 species
UACGAAGGGGGAUAGCGUUGCGCGGAAUUACUGGGAGUAAAGCGCUCUCAGGUGGUCUGUUAAGUUGGGUGUGAAAGCCCGGAGCUCAACUCCGGAAUUGCCUUCAAAACUGGCAGGCUAGAGUUCGGAAGAGGAGAGUUGAAUUCCCAGUGUAGAGGUGAAAUUCGUAGAUAUUGGGAAGAACACCAGUGGCGAAGGCGGCUCUCUGGUCCGACACUGACACUGAGGCGCGAAAGCGUGGGGAGCAAACAGG